CAGGAUCAAACUAGCUACAUCGAUUAUAGACAAUAUGGAUUUACAGUUAGAUGCUGCCUAGCCAACUCUACUAGACUUGUCAAUCUACUUUCUGUAGCCUCCAAGAUUCUGCUGAAACCACCAGCUCCUGAUCUCCAACAAUUGUCUCCUCCAAGUGGAUCACCAAGAAUGACUGAUUCUUAUACUCUUCCUAUGCUCGUAGUCCAAACACUAUUAAUCUUCAGUAGCGUCGGAAGUUUAAUUGAGAAAGUACCUUUCUAAGGGUAUUUAGGAAGUAGGUAUUUUGAAUUGAAUGGAUUCGGUGUUUUCCCCCAGCUGUGGCUACAUAAUCUCAAGAGUAAGUGAAUUGAAUCAGUGCAUGAACAAGCUCUUGAAUCUCUAAAAAAAUUUUAUGAAUGUUUUAUAGAGAAGAGGCACAAUGAACAACCAUACAAAAUUUCAUGACAGGCAUUGAGUAUUUGUAGUUGAGGGCAAUUAGGGAGUUUGAACCGUAUAAAACUCUACAAAAGUGUGGAGCAGGAUCUACGUGUAACACUAUUGUUCGAGCGAGGUGUUAGCAAUAGGCGAGUGAAGGCUCGUUGCUAGAGCAGAGAUGAGCGACACAUGAGUUACGAGAUUUCUGUUUUUACCGCUUGAGCAAUGUCGAGGCGGUAGGUUGGCAAAAUUACGAAGUCUCUUCUUUCCUUAUUCCGAACUUGAACCCUAACCUAGGUAACUCAACUAUACAAUAUUGCAACUAACUCCAUGACUUUUUACAAAAAAAUUAUUUCGAUCCCUUUGUUCACAAAAUUGCCGAUUACAUAAAACCUAACAAACUCCUCUUUGGCAUUCCGUGACAAAACUAUACAAUUAUAGUUAAGGUGGUAAAAACACAAAAAUCUAAUCUACCCAAGCUCUAAUUUCUUGCAUUCCUUGUUGAACCCCGUUUCCUGAAAUUAACAACUCAAAUACUAAAUAUAAAAGCAACGUGAUACAGGAAAUAUAACAAUAUAGGCACAUGAUCAUAAAUAAGCAUGCUAAAAUGAGAAAUAAUAUUAAUGUCAAUCAAAACAUCAUCCAAAACAUUAAUAAUACGAAACAUCAAAAACUUAAACAGCUAUGCUUUUUGCAAUGAUCAAUCUUUUCCUUAGUGCAAACUCUAAUCAAUUAGUCAUCUCGCUCCCACUAACAUGCAGUUUUCUCUCAAGAUAUAAUGAUAUAGAUAAUAUAGUCUCUUCCUCUAUAUCCUCUCUCCAUAUCUAAAUAACCAUUUUCUCCCCUUUUUGUCACAAAUAAAAAAAAUCAAUAUCAAAAUUGUUUUAACAUCAAUAUAUAAUAACUCAAAAUAUGAAGUUGAUUACAUGCACAAGCAUAAUCAAUGAUCAGUAAACCUUCCCACAUAUACAAGUCAAGUUAAGAUGGAGUAAAAUAUAGAAGUGACCCAUGUGUGUAAAGCGUCAUUAAUCCUUUAUAAACAGGAAUCCAUACCUUAAUUUUAUGAGAAGGGACAUAUUAAACAUCAUUGUCAAUAAGUUUAUUUUUUUAUUUAUGAAAGUCAAACCAUUUAAAGUACAUUAGGACAUUUAAAUAAAAGCUCAUUUGGUAUGGAUAUUUUCUUUUUCUCUCCCUGACUUUGAGCAUACAUAAAUUUUUCAUAUCAUUCAAUAUUUUUUAAGCUCGUCAUAUUUUUACAUCUUGAGUGCAGGUCCUUCUCCAUUAAAAGACUAAGAUGACUCCUGUAGCGAGUUUUAGUCCGAUUAACCCAAGUUAGUUGACUAUUGGCUUGCAUCAGGUUAUGAAAAAUCCCGCAGACUUAACUGUUCAAGUCAAAUAUGCUCUAAAGAAUAACAUAAGAUAUUGAGCUUUUUAUUACAGGGUUUAAAGUUGAGCUUAGAUCUAAUAAAUAAGGUCAAUUCAUAUUCAAAAUCAUCUUACUAACAUGUGACUGUCAUCUAAAAUCUCACACAUGCAGUUGAGUCCUACUAACAAUAUCGUAGUACGUGCAAUGCAGAUUGUCCAUGAAGACACAUAUACUAAGUAUUCUAUAAUAUCCUAAGCAAGCAAUAGAAACUAUGCUACAACUCAUCAAUUAAACCAAUACUUGAUCACAGCAAACAAAUUCAAGUAUAUUAUACAUCAUGUUGUAAAAACAAUUAUCUGUUCCCUUUUCCCAUUUUCUUCGUAUUUUUCAAUUUUCAAAAUUU
rnacentral:lncRNA from 1 species